rnacentral:tRNA from 1 species
UGAGGUGGCCGGUGGAGGAGACCGGGAGGAACUCCGUCACCCCUUCGACGGCUCCGAGGACGACGGCCUGACCG